AAUUGUAAUUUCCCUUACAAUUUGUAAGAUGUCAGCUGAACAGUCAUGGCUUAUUGCCCUAAUUUUCAUCCACUGCUCCCAAAUUUACCCCCUACUUCAAUGAUUCUUCGAUUUUUCCUUCAGUUUCUUGGAAUAAUACAACCCUUUUAUAAAUGCGAUCAACAAUCUAUGCAAUUCAAUCGUUUCCGCUUCAAUGGCCCAUCCGUUUCUACCAAUCCACCGUAUUAAGAACUCGUCAUUGAAAUCAAACACUAAGGGGUUUGGCAUUUUGUUUGUUUAUAUUUUUAAUCUAUAUAUUUUUUGGAUUCGGAUGAUUUUAGUUCUAUGGAUUUCUGUGAUCAAUUUGGGUGUUCCAUAAUGGGGUUGGUCAUUUGAAGCAGCAACAGCAAACCCUAAUUUCACCCCCAAUUUUGCUUUUAUAUUUAAAGCUUUUUAUAUACAGACUCAAAGCUUAUAAAGUUGAUUCCGAUAAUAUCAACCAUCAGCAUAAAAGUUUCAUUACAUUGCUGGAUAACUUGGAUCAUGCAUACGAUUUUCACUGAAGCUGGGAUUGAAUGUGUGUGCUUAUUGCAAUGCUUCUACAGAACAGAUACCAACGCCAGAGGCUUUAUACCCGUAUUUCACUGGGAAAGGCUAGAAGAAUGGAUGUUGUGUGGGGAGAAACUGCUGGAGUAGAAGGUCAAAUAUUGUUUUGCUGAUUAAGUAUAGUUUUGUUCUUGCAAGCGUUAUAUGCGAAUAUGAUUGAAUUCAGAUGUGAUUGUUGUUGUUA